UACGGAGGAUCCGAGCGUUAUCCGGAAUUAUUGGGUUUAAAGGGUGCGUAGGCGGCCUGGUAAGUCAGGGGUGAAAGACGGUGGCUCAACCAUCGCAGUGCCUUUGAUACUGCCGGGCUUGAAUGUACGUGAGGUAGGCGGAAUGUGGCAAGUAGCGGUGAAAUGCAUAGAUAUGCCACAGAACACCGAUUGCGAAGGCAGCUUACCAAGGUACGAUUGACGCUGAGGCACGAAAGCGUGGGGAUCAAACAGG
rnacentral:rRNA from 1 species